AACGCUGGCGGCGUGCCUAAUACAUGCAAUUCGAACGAAUCUCUUUUAGAGAUGAGUGGCGAACGGGUGAGUAAUACAUAGGUAACCUGCCCCUGUGCGGGGGAUAACAGGAGGAAACUCCUGCUAAUACCGCAUAGCCAUGAGCACCGCAUGGAGCUCAUGCCAAAUAUCCUUUAUGGGAUAGCGCAGGGAUGGACCUAUGGCGCAUUAGCUGGUUGGCGGGGCAACGGCCCACCAAGGCAACGAUGCGUAGCCGGCCUGAGAGGGCGGACGGCCACAUUGGGACUGAGACACGGCCCAGACUCCUACGGGAGGCAGCAGUAGGGAAUUUUCGGCAAUGGGGGAAACCCUGACCGAGCAACGCCGCGUGAGCGAAGAAGGCCUUCGGGUCGUAAAGCUCUGUUGUAAAGGAAGAACGGCGCAUACAGGAAAUGGUAUGCGAGUGACGGUACUUUACCAGAAAGCCACGGCUAACUACGUGCCAGCAGCCGCGGUAAUACGUAGGUGGCGAGCGUUAUCCGGAAUCAUUGGGCGUAAAGAGGGAGCAGGCGGCCGCAAGGGUCUGUGGUGAAAGACCGAAGCUAAACUUCGGUAAGCCAUGGAAACCGGGCGGCUAGAGUGCGGAAGAGGAUCGUGGAAUUCCAUGUGUAGCGGUGAAAUGCGUAGAUAUAUGGAGGAACACCAGUGGCGAAGGCGACGGUCUGGGCCGCAACUGACGCUCAUUCCCGAAAGCGUGGGGAGCAAAUAGGAUUAGAUACCCUAGUAGUCCACGCCGUAAACGAUGGUCACUAAGUGUCGGGGGUCAAACCCCGGUGCUGCUGUCGACGCAAUAAGUGACCAGCCUGAGUAGUACGUUCGCAAGAAUGCAACU
rnacentral:rRNA from 1 species